AGCAAAUCCGGUUGAUCCUGCCGGACCCUACUGCUAUCGGGGUGGGACUAAGACAUGCGAGUUGAGCGUCUCUAAGCCAUGGUGGAGACGCAGCAUACGGCUCAGUAACACGUGGCUAACCUACCCUUAGGACGGGGACAACCCCGGGAAACUGGGGCUAAUACCAGAUAGGUAAGGAGGCCUGGAAUGGUUCUUAGUCAAAAAGGCGUUGAAACCAUGCUUUUCGACGUCGCCUAAGGAUGGGGCCGCGUCCGAUCAGGUUGUUGGUGGGGUAACGGCUCACCAAGCCUAUAACCGGUACGGGCCGUGAGAGNNCGGGCCGUGAGAGCGGGAGCCCGGAGAUGGGCACUGAGACAAGGGCCCAGGCCCUACGGGGCGCAGCAGUCGCGAAAACUCCGCAAUGCGCGAAAGCGUGACGGGGCUACCCCGAGUGCCGUCCGCUGAGGAUGGCUUUUCCCCGGUGUAAUGAGCCGGGGGAAUAAGGAGAGGGCAAGACUGGUGUCAGCCGCCGCGGUAAUACCAGCUCUCCGAGUGGUAGGGAUGAUUAUUGGGCUUAAAGCGU
rnacentral:rRNA from 1 species